CAACUCAAGAGUUUGAUUCUGGCUCAGGAUGAACGCUGGCGGCGUGCUUAACACAUGCAAGUCGAAUGUAGUUUACUACAUGGCGGACGGGUGAGUAACGCGUGAGCAAU
rnacentral:rRNA from 1 species